rnacentral:lncRNA from 13 species
UGUUAAGCUGUUUGUUUUUCAGUGAACUGCCUCAGCCAAGAAUGUUCCAGUCAUGUCUUAAAAGGCUUAGCCUCUCCAGAGAGGGUCUGGUUUCCCUGAGUCAGUGAUUUUUGUCGCCUUCUAAGAAUCUUGCCAGUUUGUCUCCAAAAGAGUGUUUGCCCUUACGGUGGAUGGUGGCUCAGCUGGCUCUGGACUGAGACUCAGUCCUUUUAGGCUUUGGUUCAGUAACUUUCCAAUUCCCUCCCACAGCACUGGGGCCACAAAUGGGCGUUUGGCUUAAACCUGACACUAACCCAUUGAUUGGCUCCAUCACCAGAGCUGUCUGCACACAACAGGUAUCCAUGCACAUUGCCAACCAAUAGUUCUUAUCUUGGGGUGGCUUGGCUGUCAACCAGACCAGGGGAGCUGAUUGCUGGAGGCCUCAUCUCAGAAGCAAAGAACAGCAUCUGUCCUUGCUCCAGUGUUUUCCAAAGACUCCAAGUACCAGUGGAGAAGACUGGGCAUGGCGGUGAAAGAGCUCAAACAGCUGAGAUAUGAA